GAGGACAUUCCCCUGUCAAAGAGGCUGUCAGGAAAUCCCAGGCUGGUGUAAUGCUGCCAAAAAGAGGUGUAGAAAACACUGAUAUGAGAUAAGAAUAAUGAAAAAGUGCUGUACAAUGAGGUGAAGAGAAACCUGCAGGGUAAACUGGACAAGCAGGUGCCUGUAUAGCAUUCACAUAGGAAGCAGAGAGUGUCCCACAGGAAAAAAACCUUUGGGAGGUGGUGCAGGACAAACAUCUCUCCUUGACAACUGUCUGGCUUUCAGCAGGACUUUGCCCUCAGAAAGCAGUGGCAUGGGCCAGGAUUUACCAUGCAUACCAACCAUGGUGAGCAAGGACAGAAUACCCAAAUCUUUUCUGAGCAAACACCCCUCACUUUCAGUGCCUUCUGUUGCCCCUUCCCAAGGGCAGCUACCUGAUACAAUUUCCAGCAGCUGGCACCAACAAGGUAAAAGCACUGGACCACUGCUCCCCCUGCCCGCUGUGUCCCCAGUGCCUCCUGCACUGGAACACAGGUGUUAAAAACAAACACACCAUCCUUAGAAUUUAUCCCCACCCUUGCCCUGCCCCAGCAAGCUGCAGGGGGGAGGCAGGAGAGAACAUCUC